GAUGCUUUUCCAUUUACCUUCAAAUUGCUCAAAUAUAACUUUCAUAUAAAAAUUUACCCUAAUGGAAAAAUGACAAUUUUGCCAAAACUCUCGUUUUUCGAUUAAAAGUUUUUGCGCUGGCAAGAGGUGGUUUUUCGGGCGUAGCGCAAAUUGUAUAUGAUGCAAAACUGCAAUGGAAAGACUUUUUUCGGCAACUAGAGUCAUAUGAAU